CGGAGGCCACCACGGAGGCCACAUCGGAGGCCACGUCGGCCACCAUGGGGCCACCACCACGUAGACCAUCACGGAGGAGGUGGUCAUGGUGGUGGAGGUGGACAUCACGGUGGUGGUCAUGAUGGUGGUGGCGGACACCGCGGCGGUUGAGGCAGAGGCGGUGGAGGGUGUUGAAUUGUACUUAUAUUUGUAUACGUAUUAGGCAUGAAUUGAAAAAAAGAAGAAGAGGGUUUCAUUUCAUUAAAUUGUGAUGCGAUAAUGUGGUUUGUGUUAGAUCAUAUUAGGAUUUAUUAUUUAGGAUUAAGUUAAUUGUAAUUUACAUUUGUUGUACUUAAGUCUAAUUGUAUUCCCACCCUACAUAUAUUUGGACCUUGUAUUCUUCGUUUGGUAA